UAAGACAGAGGGUGCAAACGUUGCUCGGAAUCACUGGGCGUAAAGGGCGUGUAGGCGGGAAGAUAAGUCAGGUGUGAAAUCCCCAGGCUCAACCUGGGAACUGCACUUGAAACUGUCUUUCUUGAGUGUCGGAGAGGAAAGUGGAAUUCCUGGUGUAGAGGUGAAAUUCGUAGAUAUCAGGAGGAACACCGGUGGCGAAGGCGGCUUUCUGGACGACAACUGACGCUGAGACGCGAAAGCGUGGGGAGCAAACAGGAUUAGAUACCCUGGUAGUCCACGCUGUAAACGAUGAACACUAGGUGCUGCGGGUAUUGACCCCUGCAGUGCCGAAGCUAACGCAUUAAGUGUUCCGCCUGGGAAGUACGGUCGCAAGACUA
rnacentral:rRNA from 1 species